rnacentral:rRNA from 1 species
UAGGGAAUCUUCGGCAAUGGACGAAAGUCUGACCGAGCAACGCCGCGUGAGUGAAGAAGGUUUUCGGAUCGUAAAGCUCUGUUGUAAGAGAAGAACGAGUGUGAGAGUGGAAAGUUCACACUGUGACGGUAUCUUACCAGAAAGGGACGGCUAACUACGUGCCAGCAGCCGCGGUAAU